rnacentral:rRNA from 1 species
CACGUAGGGGGCGAGCGUUGUCCGGAUUUAUUGGGCGUAAAGAGCUCGUAGGCGGCUCAGUAAGUCAGGUGUGAAAACUCCAGGCUCAACCUGGAGACGCCACUUGAUACUGCUGUGGCUAGAGUCCGGUAGGGGAGCAUGGAAUUCCUGGUGUAGCGGUGAAAUGCGCAGAUAUCAGGAGGAACACCGGUGGCGAAGGCGGGUCUCUGGGCCGACACUGACGCUGAGGAGCGAAAGCGUGGGGAGCGAACAGG